UCGGAUCUUUCAUAUUUGAAGUGUUACUGUGCACUUCAUCUUCAUAUUAUUUUACUCUAUUUUAUCUAUCUACCGGUCACUUUUCGUUUCCCUCUCUCCCCGUUUCCUCCCCGCGUUUUCUCUCCCCAUUUCUCUCAUUUUCAUUUCUCCCAAUCCCUUCGGCUCUACACUUCGAAUCUUCGCAGCCAUUCGAUUCUUCAACGGCAAGAACACUCGGCUCUGCACGAUCUUCUUCUCCAAAGGAAGCCGAAUCAUUCGGGGGUUUCUUCUACCAGUUUCAAGCAGAUCAGAUUCGUGCGGAAGGCAUCCGAUUUCAGGUUCGGCCGAUUGCUUUUCUUUUUGAACCCUAAUCUUGGAUCUGUUUUUUAUUUCCAUUCAGCCCCGAUUGGGGCUUUUGCUUUCGGAUGUUUGGGUGGAAAAAAUAAAUGGUUACUGAGCAUUCGACUGAUGUUGGGUCAUUGAUUUUGUGAAUUUCUUGCAGAUUUUCACGUUCUUCCCUAGCAAUUGAUGAAUAUGGUUAUGAAUAUGGUUAUGUGUAUGAUAGGCAUGAUAUUAUGCAAAAGAAUUAGGUGCCGAAACAUUAUUAAACAUGAUUACAAUCUGUUCCUGCACAUUGAAUCUUAAUCUCUGUUCCUGCACUUUCCAUGAUAUUUAACACAGUUCAUAUACUUUAUGGGGCUGUUUGCUACCCAUUUAGCUUUGAUAACGUUUCUCUUGCUCUUAGAUUUCAAUUGUUUAUUUUUUGCAUUUAUCUUAGCCUAAACAUCUUUUCACAUCACAAUCGUGGCUUUGAAAAGGAAUCCUACCACGAAAGAGGCCGAACAACAUUCAAAUACCACAUUGAUUAUUUAACUUUUUCUACCUCUUCAUGAUGAAAGGGAUCACAUCAAAAGGUCCCUCCUCAUUAAAUUAUAAAAAGGGGGGCAUAAUUAUUAUUAAAGAUUAGAAGAUUAGGUAUUUAGGUCACAUUAGUGCUAAUUAUCUAGAAAAUGUGAAAAAGUAACAAGAAAAGUUCAUGUGGUUGGUAUCAUUCAAUAAAAGCAAGAUGCCAUGCAUGUACAUUACAUGGUUUUAGCUAUAUUCUGAUCACAUCGAUCUAUUUGGCCCUGUCCUUGAUGACAUCUAUCCCCAUCUCGGUUGGGUCGGUUGCUUGCAGUUCAUAGUGGAUGCCUUCCAGCACUCUCCUCAACCCAUCUUUGGAUGUUGCAUACAGCAUUUUUGCCCUUAUUCUUGAUGCUGUUGGGGACCUAAAAAAAAAAAAACCCAAAAUUGACACUUUUCAUUAACAAUAUGGUCUAAAUGUUAACAUUCUGUGUUUAUUUGUUUGGAUUCUGUGGAGAAGUGGGUUUGAAGUUUUCAUACUCUCUGACUUUGUGUUCAUGGAGCAGUGUUCAUGAAGUUAAUGGAGCAGUGUUCAUGCAGUUACUCUCUGACUUUUUCUGUUUGCUGACCUGAAGAAAAAUACUAAAAACAUAUCCCAUUUGAUUUUCGUGUGUGAAGAUAUGUGUGUAAAUAUGUGUGAAGAUAUGUGUGAAUUCAGGUGUGAAGAUAUGUAAAGUCACUGUGCAAGAGGAGAAAAAAGGGCCUUGGUAGAGUAAUCAAGCUGUUGGAAUUCAUAGAGUACUCUUGCACUUGGUGGCACAAAAUAAAGUCAUUACAAAUGAAAAGGUUAUGAGAAACAAUUUGCUCAACUUCAAAGACCUGGAUAAUUUGAAGCUUGCAGAGGGCUUGGCUAAAAUAUGUUUUGAGAUGCAUUUGUAGAAGUCACAAGCUUUUGUAAACUAGAUUAUUAAUUCAAGGAGGCAUUUCAUCUUGGGAGUGCUUUUGUUGAUACUCCCUUACGUGCUUACUUUCUUAGCUAGGCCCUUAAAAUCCUUGUGAGAUUUGAUUACACUUGCAAUUUUAUUGGAAGUGAUAUUGUAGAGUAAUUUGGGUGGUUUAGCCA